rnacentral:rRNA from 1 species
ACGAACGCUGGCGGCAUGCCUAACACAUGCAAGUCGAACGAGACCUUCGGGUCUAGUGGCGCACGGGUGCGUAACGCGUGGGAAUCUGCCCUUAGGUACGGAAUAACCCAGGGAACUUAGAGCUAAUACCGUAUAAUGACUUCGGUCCAAAGAUUUAUUCGCCUAAGGAUGAGCCCGCGUCGGAUUAGCUAGUUGGUGAGGUAAAAGACUCACCAAGGCGACGAUCCGUAGCUGGU